AAAACAGACUGCAGAAGUAAUUCGCUCAGAGAGCCGUACGGAGACAUCCCCGAGCAGAGGGUAGUCAAGAUGAAGCUUUCAAAGCCGAUAAUGGAGAAGAAUUUUCCAUCCUGAAAACAGUUUCUCGGCCACUUCUUCCGGCUGUACCAAAGCGGCACUUUCAGAUAUGAGCUUAGUUUCUAGGGGCUUCGACUUUUCCUCUUCGGCGAAGCCCGGGGUGUCCGUAUCCGGCGGAAGAGACAGGGUGACGGACACGUUAUAAGGCGUUAAUUCCAUGGCUAAACUCUCGGCUAAGCCUCUUAAUGCAAAUUUAGUAGCGCUGUAGGCAGAGAAUCCGAAAAUUCCUAGAUGCAUGGAUAGAAGAGAAUCGUUAUUCUGAAGUGAUUGCGUGGAAAUAAUUAGCGUAGUAUUGUCCAUGCAAAGUCUGAGAGCUAUUAUUAUUUGCAAGCCGUUAUUUUUUUAUAAUUAUUUUUCUUAAUUUAUAGUCUUUUCUUUGCCAAGAAAAAUAUCAAACGCAUUUUUUUUUUUAAUAUGAAGAAGUUGUCAGUGAAUCUGUAUCCAAUAAAAUUUGAAUAAUAAGUAAUAUAAAAAAAUUAACUACAGGUAAUUAAAAUACAAAAAUAUCAUCAUACAAUCAUACCCAAUAAGCCAGCCUGGGAAGACACGAGCACAAUCUUGCCUUCCUUCCUCCUCUUCAUGCUUGGCACCACGGCCUUGGUGCAAUUAUAACUUCCGAUAAAA